CCAGGAGUGGGAUUGCUGGAUCCUAUGGUAGCUCUAUUUUUAGUUUUUUAAAGAACCCCCAUACUGUUCUCCAUAGUGGCUGCACCAACUUACAUUCCCACCAGCAGUGUGGGAUGGUUCCCUUUUCUCUACACCCUUUCCAGCAUUUAUUAUUUGUAGACAUUUUAAUGAUGGCCAUUCUGACCAAAGUGAGGUGAUACCUCAUUGUAGUUUUGAUUUGCAUUUCUCUAAUUAGCGAUGGUGAGCAUCUUUUCAUGUGCUUUUGGGACAUCUGUAUGUCUUCUUUGGAGAAAUGUCUAUUUAGAUCUUCAUUUACUUACUUUUCAAGUACAAAGUCCUUUCUGUGGCAGCCUUUACCUACACUGUGGGAACUUAACCUUCCUUAAACCUGUUUUAUUUGAGGAAAAGAUGUUGUGGUUUUCAACCUCGUCUCCAUCUGCUCCGGAUGGGCGACCUCUGAUGGACUCCUCAGAAAGUCAAUGACAAAGAUUCCUCACCUGUACCAAUGACAGCAGUGGACAUGAAUGAAAGCUCUGGCCCCUGGCUCCAAAUCUGGACCUCAUGGUCCACUAACUGAGGCAUCUUGGGACAGAAUCUUGUCUCAGGCUCUGUUUCUCCAUCUACAUAUUGGGGACUUAAUGCUGCGAAUAAUAAAUGAGACGGUACACGUAACAGGCACAGCAGAGUACCCAACUCGAUACAUGUUAAUGGUUGGCAUUGCUGCAGCCACUGAGACUUGGUAAAUAUUUAAUACCCAUUUCUUCCUCUCUUCUUGGCCUAGAGGAGUUUGGAUAACAAGUCAGAUUGUGAUUUCGCUCUUUACUUCAGCAAUCACAGGAAGAAUCUAAGCCCAAAAGUCAUCUCUUCUGACGCCCCCGUGGUUCCCAGCAGAAGUUGCCAGCAUGGGCCUCAUGGAAAAACCAUUACAAGCAUCCCCUACUUUUCAAAAGUUCCACUUAUGCCAUUCCACUUUUACAAAAGACCUACAUUAGUACCUGUUUUUGCUCAUCGAAAGAAAUCCCAAGAGGGUUUUUACUUUUUUGGAAAAAGGCAGAAAGUUGAAGUAGUGAUCAGCCUGUGUUUUGCUUUGAGCCAUUAAGAGGCAGCGCGCACCCCAGCAGCUAAAGUAGCACCACCAAGUGCCUUCGCCUGGAACUACACUCAGCAUCUCAGCAUCAAGCCGCCAUAGCUCUGAACUGUGUCUGCCAGCCUCUGUGCUUGAUCUCGAUUUAUUUUAAGCGUCUGUUAGCAAGAUGGGUCCUAAGCACUUGAAGAAUAUUCCUCUUCCUCCUGGCCUCCAUGGAUUCUGAUGAGAAAUCUGCUGUCAUCUGAAUUGAUUUUCAUCUAUAGAACUCUGAUGACACGAAAGACAUACCUUUUGUUACAGUCCCACAGAUCCCCAUGGCUCUGCUUAUCUUUUUAUUUUUAUUCUAACUUUUCUCCAUUAGUCAGACUGAGUAAUUUCUAUUGUUCUACUUUACAGCUCACUGAUUGUUUUCUUCUGUCUCCUUCAUUCUGCUGUUGAGCUCAUCCACUGAGCUUUUAAUUUCAGUUACUGUAUUUUUCAGUUCUAAAAUUUCUAUUUGAUUUUUUUUAUAUCUUCUCUUUCUUUGCUGACACUUUCAACUUAUUUGCUGAGUGUUUUUAUUUUUUCAUUAGUUUAAAGUGUGUUUAUAAUGGCUUGCUGAAGCAUUUUUUUAUGAUGGCUACUGUAAAAUCUUUGUCUGAUAAUUCUAACAUCUCUGUUACUUCGAUGUUGGUAUCUACAGAUACCUCCCUGGCAGAGAGGGGUAGGAGUGGCUCAUUACUACUCGUCAUGUGGCCUCAAAGGACAUCAUCAGUGGGGGAGGGGAGGCAUUGGCUUUGUUACUGCUGGGCUCUGGUGAAAAUCGUGACCUUCCACUCUCCAUUGAGACUGCUCCAGCAGGGAAGAAAUAGAAACUUCCCAGGUGGUUUCCAUCAACACCAUGUGGUGGUGGAGGGUGCUCCUUAUUGCUUGGUGUGGGUGAAUGCCUCAGCUCUAUACUCAACCUUAUCUGACACCACACUGACAGGGAGUUGGGGCACCUUAAACUUGCUGAAGAUGGAAGUCUAGGCUCUCCAUUUGGCUUCUGCUUGGUAGGAGUGCAGCCGUAGUUUUUUCUAUGGUGUUUGAUUGGAGUAGGAUGUUUACCAUCUAAACGUUUUCUGUCUUGCUAGAAUGUCCCUUCCUUCCCCUGUCCUUUGGUUAGAGAGAGCAGGCUUUUGCUGGGGCUAUUUUUGUCUGUAGUCGUUGGUGUUUUCAGUUUGCUUGGCUUCUUCAGCUCCAAGUCUGGGAUAUAUGAGGCAAAAAGUUGAUUCAGAGAAUGCAUUACUGUUUUGUUACUUGGGUUCUGAGUUCCCUAGUUUGUUUGCCUUCCCCCCACCUUUCAGAGUCUCUCUUUCUCUCUAUAUAUAUUAUACUAAAUGUCCAGGGUUUUUAGUUGGACUUAGCAGAAGGAACAGGAAGAAGUACAUGGACUUCACCUUCCUGUAAGCUGAAAUUCUGGCAUUACAUUUUUAACUAUAAGAAAUGUUCUCAUUUUAACUAACUUGUGAUCGGUGUCAGCCUGGUGGAUUAUUAAUUUUUAAAUGUGAUCAAAAUCCAAAUAAAAUAAAAGCAUCACUAAAGGGGCUGUAUUGAAUAUACCACCUAUUAAUUAUACUGAUUUUUUGAACAGUGACUAGCUUCUGUGAGCAAAUCUUGUAAUUGGAACCCUCACUGUAGCUUUCUUCUCAGAAAUCUGUGUUGAGAAAUGCUCUACUCCACUGGGCUUAAGUAGGAUUAGCAUCUAAACAUGUUGCUUAACAAAGUUACACUUUCUAUGCAAACUGAUUUAUAAUGGGGAAAUCUACUUUUGACAUCUCUUUUUAAACAUUUUUAAUUAAUUAAUUUUUGGCUGUGUUGGGUUUUUAUUGCUGCGCGUGGGCUUUCUCUAGUUGCCGUGAGUGGGGGCUACUCUUCGUUGCAGUGCGUGGGCUUCUCAUCGCAGCGACUUCUCUUGUUGCGGAGCACAGGCUCUAGGCACGUGGGCUUCAGUAGUUGUGACGUGUGGGCUCAGCAGUUGUGGCUCAUGGGCUUUACAGUGCAGGCUCAGAAGUUGUGGUGCACGGGCUUAGUUGCUCCACAGCAUGCAGAAUCUUCCUGGACCAGGGAUUGAACCCAUGUCCCCUGCAUUGGCAGGCGGAUUCUUAACCACUGCACCACCAGGGAAGUCCUUGACAUCUCUUAAAGGAACACAUCCAAGUAAUUCAUAACAAGCACAUACUUAGCAGAGCUGGAUUAGCAGGGGGAAAGGAAGUCAUUCAUUAAAAACAGUAGAUCUGCCAUCUGUGAGAAGGAUGGUAGGUCCUGGGAGAUGGAAAAGGAGAAGUGGUUCCUGAUCCAGCAGUUCACUGUCUAGUGGGAGAGAGAUAGUGCAAAGAGAUGAUUUCAGUGCAGUGGGAUAGGUGCUAAAAUAGAGGGAAGAAAAGUCCUAGAGGUACCAUGACAGAGAAGCUAACUGUCAGGGAGGAUGAUUGGUACAGAUGCUGGAAGGUAUAACGGAGAGGCAAGAAGCAACAUGUGGGCUGAGAUUCUGGGGACAAUGAUGGUGUGUAGGGAACAGUCGUGGGGGAGAACCCAUUACUGCUGAAGGACAAAGUGGAUGUGGGGCCAUGUCAGAAGACAUGACUGGAAAUACAGACAGGGACAGAUUACAAACAAUCUGGAUGCCCUGGAUUAGUGAAAAUUCUUUUUAAGUAGUUUCUUUAAAGAACAAAUGGUUUUGAGGAGCUAAUGCUCUUUAAGUUUUGAUUUGUAGAUUUGUAAUAGUUAAGAAUAUGGAAGCAAGACUAGGAAGAUGCAGAAAAUGGGAAACCCUGUUAGAUGUGGAAGAAAUGGAGGUGAGACCCUCCAAAGGCAUUGUUGAGUCAAGAGAAUAGAAGAGUAGGGCAGGGUGGAACGCGUCUGCACACAUGACGGGAAACGUUCAGUGGAAGAGGCAUCUUUCUAAUGGUGGGUGGCCCUAAGGCAUAGAGCCGGGCUCAGUGGGGAGCCACAGUCAGGCUGCUUUCUCUUUGGUGCAGUAAUGUUUUCACAGGGUGAUGCACAGAUGCCACGGGCUGCCUCAUCAUGGGGUGGGUUCCCUGUGACUGGAAGCAUGCAAAUGUUGGAAAGGUUGACCAGCCACCCAUUGGGUUAGUUAUUUGAAAAUACCAGUAUCCAGUUGGGUAAUUGGAUAAGAUGAGCUCCUGGGCCCUUUUUAAAAAAAAUUUUUAUUGGAGUAUAGUUGAUUUACAAUGUUGUCUUAGUUUCUGCCGUACAGCAAGGUGAAUCAGUUAUACGUAUACAUAUAUCCACUCUUUUUUAGAUUCUUUUCCUACAUAGGUCAUUAUAGAGUAUUGAGUAGAGUUCUUUGUGCUAUACAGUAGUUCCUUAUUAGUUAUCUAUUUUAUAUAUAGUAGUGUGUAUAUGUUAAUCCCAACCUCCCAAUUUAUCCCCUCCCCUUCCCCCCCGGUAACCAUAAGUUUAUUUUAUACAUCUGUGACUCUAUUUCUGUUUUGUAAAUAAGUUCAUUUGUACCUUUUUUUUGAGGAUCUAUGAUUCUCUCUGAACUCCAAGUAGAGUUUCAUGUAGAACAAAGUGGAUUAUGGGUAAAUGUUUACUGAUAAGCCAGGUAAAGAUCACGUUGGGAUCAAAGCAUGAAACACUCUAUCACUGUCCAUUCGGAGGGAAAUGGACACUUCAUAGUUUUCAGUAUUUAUGUUUCCUCCACAUCUCUUCCUUUUUAAAACCUUCACUGGAAUUUUCCGCCCUUGCACGAUUGGUCUGACUCCUUUAGCUAUACGUUGGGAACUUACUAUGUGUUUAGCUAGGUGAACUCCUCCACGUGAAUCUAGGUUAGACCAUGUCCCCAGGCAUGCCAGCCCCAGAAUCAAACUUGUCCCAAGUUGGGGUUAUUUUGACCCAGGGCCCUUCUAACCCAUUUCAGAUUCAGUAUUUUCAGGGUUAGGAGGGAGCUUAGCCAGCCAUGGGGAGAAGACAGAGGCAAAACACACCCUUUGCAGGGAGUGACGGGCUUUCCUCCACUGACUAUUUUCUCAAAUAUUAAUUCUCCCUCUUCUUUUUCCCUUAUCUCCUAUCCAUCCCUGGGACUGAUUAAUAAUAAAAACGAAAAUAAACAAUAACCAGUGUAUUGGAUAUUUACAGUGUUUGAAGCAAUGUAAUGCAUAUUUAAUAUUCUCAACAACUCUAGAAGUAGGUUUUAGUCUUUUCAUUUAACAGAUGGGGAAACUGAGGCCCAAAGUGCCUAGGGAACUUGCCCAAGCUUGCAGCGCGGGAGCCUCUGACUCCUGAGCCUGAAUUAUGGAGCGUCUCUCUUGUGAAGCCUUAAAGGUUCAAAGAUCAUUUGCUUUUGCAAAAUGGAGUGGAGGGUCUCCCUCUUCUUCCUCCCCACCCAGAUAUAUGGGACUGUUAUGGGACCACGUCUGUGAAAAAUGCUCCAUCAUAAGUGUUAGAGUCGAUGAAUUUUCACACACUGAAUACGCCCAUGUGACCACCACCAAGAUCAAGACACGGAACGUGACCAGCUCUCCCGAUGCAGGGUGACCACUGCUCUGACUGCCGUCAACAUAGAUUAACUUUGCCUGUUGUAGAACUCCUUAUAAAUGGAAUCAGUGUGCCCUCUUUUUGUCUGGUUACUUCUGCUCAGAAUCUGUAAAACCCAGUGGUGUGCUGGUAAAUUGGCUUUCAAAAACUAAUUUAUUUAUUAUUAUAAAUAAAGAAAAGAAAAAAGAAGGAAAGGAAUAAAAGAAAAAAGAAUAAAAAAUUUUUUUAAAAAGCAAUGCAAUAAAAAGAAAGAAAGAAAGAAAAAGUUCCUGUUUGUAGUGUUUGCCUAUUUCAGUGCUGUGAAUGCUCCCACCUUGGUGGAUUUCAAGCCACCAAUGAUUUAACAAUCAGUUUGCAAGAUUCCAGAAUAUUCCACAGUCAGCUCUUACGAGCUGGUGCAAGUCAAACCCACCAUGUUAUAGGAGUCAUUCACAUGGUGGUGUAUAGUUUAUCAUUCUUUCUCUUUGCUGUUUAGUAUUACUGUGUGAACACACGUGGGGCCUUUUCAUUAUGGCUUUUUGGCAAAAGUCACUGGUUUUCGGAAAGAGCCUCUUUGGUGGAUUCAUUGCUGCCGGAUGAAUCCGGUCCUGUCUCCACCGUGCCGGCACCUUUCCUGACCACCGGCUUCGGCUUCAGCUCUCCAGACGGGAAGCACCGUAC